rnacentral:rRNA from 1 species
AGUGAACGCUGGCGGUAGGCCUAACACAUGCAAGUCGAACGGCAGCACAGUAAGAGCUUGCUCUUACGGGUGGCGAGUGGCGGACGGGUGAGGAAUACAUCGGAAUCUACUUUUUCGUGGGGGAUAACGUAGGGAAACUUACGCUAAUACCGCAUACGACCUACGGGUGAAAGCAGGGGAUCUUCGGACCUUGCGCGAUUGAAUGAGCCGAUGUCGGAUUAGCUAGUUGGCGGGGUAAAGGCCCACCAAGGCGACGAUCCGUAGCUGGUCUGAGAGGAUGAUCAGCCACACUGGAACUGAGACACGGUCCAGACUCCUACGGGAGGCAGCAGUGGGGAAUAGUGGACAAUGGGCGCAAGCCUGAUCCAGCCAUACCGCGUGGGAGAAGAAGGCCUUCGGGUUGUAAAGCCCUUUUGUUGGGAAAGAAAAGCAGCAGGUUAAUACCCCGCUGUUCUGACGGUACCCAAAGAAUAAGCACCGGCUAACUUCGUG